AAGGCACUUUGGCGAACUCAACUCAACCUCCGCUGUAUAGAUUCCAAUUCUGUCUUCUCUUUCCAUAGGAGAAAAGUGUACUUUCAAAGCUUCUUCUGCUAACUAACCCAUGAGACUAUCGAGGUACCUAACCUCUUUAUAUCUGUCUUUUCUUUUGCUUCCAGACUCACUACCACUUAUCUUAUUGCUGGCUCUUUUGCUUCCAGACUCACUACCACUUAUCUUAUUGCAGUGAAUAUGCACAUCGUAUGAUAUAAGUAAGUUACUUCCCUGCUGACACACCUAUGACUCUCGGUGCACGUGCUGCUUCAAAUCUAACAACCUAACGGACCCGAGAAGUAAGCUUACGCGAGUUAAUGUUGAGUUGCUUGUUGAAUGGAAUCUAUCUCUCCUAAUGUAGAAUGGAGUAAACAAACUUAAUAAGAGUAUUUGAUAGUGCACCUUAUAAGAUAUAAUUGAUUAACCUAGCACACUACCACUUCUUUGCUAGUUCCCUUGCUUUGAAUGUGAAAAAGAAGGAAUUGGACUUCACUCCUAGCACGCACGCACCCCGAGUUGCCUUCUUUCCCUUCUUUCGCACCACUCAUUAAAGCGGAGCACGAUAAGCCUUAGCACCCGGGGGAAACCAAUUCAAUUCAAUCUAAUUCACCUCAUCAUACAAUUGAGUAACAACACUACUGACUGCAACAAGCAAAAGAAACUCUGUUAGCGGGAUCGUAUAGAAACUGACAGGUAAUAUUCCGUUUUCUAUACUUUUAUAAACUCCUUUAGCUUAGCUUGAAAUAUGAAGUUGUCAAGGAAAACAAACAGUCAAAUCAGGUAAUUUCAUCUUACCUUUCCACACCAGAGGAUAGGUCAAUACCUGAGGAUAGCCUUGAAUAGCAGCUUACUUGAGAACUGACUGAUCCAGCGGAUUCUCUUUCCUCCCGGGCCUACCUCUGUUGGAGAGUCAACCGGUAUUCUAUAUUUGUUGCACUUAAUCAUUGGGCUGGGUGUUAGAGAUGCAAAUGGUAUAUAUAAGGAUAUAGAAGGGCAAGUCUCUUUCUGUUCUUGAGCAAGUAAAGAAGCUAGUUCAAAGGCAAAGGAUGCCCCUUAUAGUACUAGAUCAAGAAAGAAUGGAAUAGAAUUAUUUGACAGAGGGGAGCCAGUAGUUGGCGAUAGGGUAGUUGACUUCCUUCAAUUGACUAGUUGAAGACCUGAUUGAUAGUAGCUAGUGGAAUGAUUUGCCUACGGAGUUCAAUUCAGUAUUAGUAGCAAUAGGUGUAUACGAGUAGUCCAGAUCGAUACCUCUUCUUUCUAUCUUACCUACUUGUGAGUGCAAUUCCUUAUCUGUUGCCAGCAGGGUUCAAUGAUUUGUUCUUACAGUUUAGAGGCAAGGUAAGCAGUUCCGUCAGAAGGAGAGGUCGGGGAAGACUAAGUGGAGAUAGGUUCUUGGCAGAUAAGUUAUUGGCGAUUGACUGUAUACGAGAUCUGAAGCCAAAGAAGAAGAUGGAAAGUAGAGUGAGACUAGUUGUAGCUUGUCUUAACGCAAAGUGGGUGUUUCACCUAUCCCUAAUAGGUGUGAGUCAUGUACAAGUCCUGUGUUCCUAGCGUGUUGCGCGUUAGCGAGUUCUGCUCAAACAAAGAGACGAAAUCCUUUGUUGACUUCAUACAGUGCUGUUUUCUAGGGCAAGAAGGUAGUAAGGGAAAGAAGAAAGUCAAGGUUGGUUGGUACAGGAAUAUCAGAUGUUUCCGCUUCAUAGCUUAAGUCUGCAGCAAGUGGUUUUUCAAGUGUUGAGUCAGGAGAGGAAUAGGGGUCUUCAGCGGGAAGGGCAAAGCUUAGUAGUUAGCUAAGGAGCCCCCCGGUCGGGGCAGAAGAUGUUGUAGCGGUAGGGAAGGGGGAGUUGGUUGGCCCAGUGCAACUAAUACAAAAGUGAGGCCAGUAGGCUCAGGAAUGGAUUUUAGCACAGAAGUAAGUUAUUCGGAUUGCUUAGUCUCUCCAUAAGAACUAUCCAGAAGUCAAACAUGCAUUUCUUAUCUUGUACUGAAGUGACAACAUUAGCUACAUCUUUCGAUCGGUGAGGAAAACAGUAAUGGAAUCCUUUGUCUCGAGCACCCGCAAUAGAAUAAGAUAGUCAAGACACUGCCAUUAACUUAAGGGC
rnacentral:lncRNA from 1 species